rnacentral:tRNA from 1 species
GUCCCCAUAGUUUAAUGGAUAGAGCACGGCCCUCCGAAGGCCGGGAUGGAAGUUCGACUCUUCCUGGGGGCA